UGCUCACCUCGCCUAGAGUUCACUGUUGCUCUGUGUUGCCAACGCCCCAUACCUUUUGGUGGCUGAUGAAGACCCUGGGUAUGCUUUUAGAUUACAACUUCUUCAGCUUCGUUAUUGGGUAUGCCCUCCAAAUUACAUUUUCUUGAAGGAAAAAUCGGAGGGAGAGAGAGAGAGAGAGAGAGAGAGGGAGAAAGAGUUCUCUUGGAGUGGGUAUUUCAUAUGU